UUCUUCCCAUCCCUACUGACUGGAGGAACAAACAUAAGAGAAUUACCCAUCUGAGUGAGGCGAUUCCCUCAAACAGCUUCAGCAAAUGUUGGGGGAGGGGUUUCAGCAUCAACAACAUUCGAAAAUUGCAAUUUCCUCACGAGUUCUUCAUUUUGAUUCUCCACUGCUUGCAUGCAAGCUUCAUCAGUUUUACCCAAUCUUCCUUCAUUAGAUUUCAGAACAGGUGGUAGAAAGCUACCAAAAGUAAGAGGUUCUAGAGUUUUGGUCUCCACUGGAGCUGGAGUAAUCGUCUGCGGAGCAGUUGAUGGUUGUGGACGACGCCGACGAGCCA
rnacentral:lncRNA from 1 species